rnacentral:rRNA from 1 species
UACAGAGGUCUCGAGCGUUAGGCGGAAUCACUGGGCUUAAAGCGUGUGUAGGCGGAUUGCUAAGUACCUUGUGAAAUCCCACGGCUUAACCGUGGAACUGCUUGGUAUACUGGCUGUCUUGAGCCACUUAGGGGCGACCGGAACAAACGGUGGAGCGGUGAAAUGCGUAGAUAUCGUUUGGAACGCCAAAGGUGAAAACAGGUCGCUGGGAGUGUGCUGACGCUGAGACACGGAAAGCCCAGGGGGAGCAAACGGG